UCCGCCAGUAUCCCGUGCUGCCGUGGGGUUGUAGUUUCCCGCCCCUUUGUAGUCCCGGCGAUGGAGCGGCCGGGUGUCCGGGGCGGCCUCCUGCUGCUGGCGCUGCUCGGCACCGGGCUCUGCAACACCCGGCGGCCUGGAGAUGUUCUGGAUUCUGAAAUUGCAGGAGUGUCUGUACCACUUGAACACUCAUUUGAAUUUGAUGACAGUGUGCACUAUAAAAAAAGGGGUACGUUGUUAUGGAGACCAGGCCGUGAAAACGCCCUUACUCUAACUCAGAUGCAACUGACAGAGGAUGAAAGGGUCAAACUCAGAGAUAUGGCUGGUACAGACGGGUUGUACCGAAUUAGAAUCCCAAGGAAACUGGGCAGUGAGAGCUCUACUUUGGAUUAUGUAUCAUCCUUUGUUCGAGUAUGCUCUCUGGUUGAGUCUCACCUCUCUGAUGUGAUCACUGUUAACACAGAUGUGUCUGGCAAUAUAAUCGGUGUUUCCAUAGUAACUGUCCCUGGGUCCUGCAAUGGAGCGGAGGUGGAAGAUGUGGAUUUAGAAGUAUUUAACACAACUGUACACCUCAUGCAACCAGUACUGGCGUCUGCGCCAGAGACUGCAGCAUUUAUCGAGCGGCUGGAACAUGAACAGGCUCAGAAGGCAAAGAACCCGCAGGAGCAGAAGUCAUUCAUCGCAAAAUAUUGGCAUUUAAUUCUGGGCGGGGCCAUCUUUCUCAUGGUUACAAAUACCGUCAAAGCGCCUCGAGAACUAGGAAUACAAGCAUGACGUCUGCAAAGUAAUGGUGGUUCCCAGUUGUCUUCAGGAGAUUGUGUGCAGUGGCAAGCAAGUGGAUGUAUAUCGUUCCCAUUGUGAUUUUCCUGAUGAUGUCAGGAGCACAGGAUCCCAAUGGAGGGAGUAGUGGAGGUGGCUCAGGUGGAGGUGGGAGGUGAUAAAUGCAGCAUCCGAAGAUCGACGCUUUCCUAGUGCUGGGACACGAGAAGUGCAGCAUGUUGUAAAUACAAGUUAUUCGCUGGACACAGAUAUUCUCAGGACAUGGGAAAUGUAAAACUGGCAUCAACAUGAGUAACUGAGGUAUAAUAACAUUGUUGAUUUAAAAUAAAGUAAAUUGUCACUGG